rnacentral:rRNA from 1 species
CACGGGGGGAGCAAGCGUUGUUCGGAAUCACUGGGCGUAAAGGGCGUGUAGGCGGUCAAGUAAGUGGAAUGUGAAAGCCCCCGGCUUACCCGGGGAUCUGCAUCCCAAACUGCUUGGCUUGAGUACGGGAGAGGAUAGGGGAAUUCCUGGUGUAGCGGUGAAAUGCGUAGAUAUCAGGAGGAACACCGGUGGCGAAGGCGCCUAUCUGGCCCGAUACUGACGCUGAGGCGCGAAAGCUAGGGGAGCAAACGGGAUUAGAUACCCCGGUAGUCCUAGCCGUAAACGGUGAGCACUAGGUGUUGGAGGCAUCGACCCCUCCAGUGCCGCAGCUAACGCACUAAGUGCUCCGCCUGGGGAGUACGGCCGCAAGGUUGAA